CCACAUUGCUGACACCAUCAGCAGCUCGAAGCUUGGUCCAUCUCACACACCUCACAAUUGAAUGGUGCGAGGAAAUAGAGAAAUAAUAGCAAAGCAAGAGGGAGAGGAUGACGUGGACCAAGACAUAUCAUUUUCAAUAAACUGGAGCAUUUACGACUUUAUGGCUUGACAAAUUGAAGAGAUUUUGUGGCUAUAAUUAUACCUUCAAGUUUCCAUUAUUGGAUGAUGUCACUAUAAUGGAUUGUCCUCAACUCUCAACAUUCUGUCUUGGAGCUAUACAUACCCCGCGCCUUCAAAGCAUUAAAGCGGGUCAUCAAAACGAACAUAUUUGGAAGGGCGAUGUUAACGAGACCAUCCAAUAUCAUUUCACUGGUUCAAGAGGAUGGCGUUAUAUGUAGAAGGGGAAUGCUCAUUUAUUGGUGCAGGUUAUGUAUGUGGUGAUGUUGACCCUUGAUUAAAUAAGAUGACCAAUGUGUUAUGAUUGCAAGGUCUUCAUUCAACAACUGCAUCGUUUGCUUCAUUAAGACAUAUUGGUAUCAUUGACAUGUGGCUAAGAUUAUUAUGAAAGAUUGGUUUUUGAUGAAUGCA